GAUGAACGCUGGCGGCGUGCCUAAUACAUGCAAGUCGAGCGAACGGACGAGAAGCUUGCUUCUCUGAUGUUAGCGGCGGACGGGUGAGUAACACGUGGAUAACCUACCUAUAAGACUGGGAUAACUUCGGGAAACCGGAGCUAAUACCGGAUGAUAUUUUGAACCGCAUGGUUCAAAAGUGAAAGACGGUCUUGCUGUCACUUAUAGAUGGAUCCGCGCUGCAUUAGCUAGUUGGUAAGGUAACGGCUUACCAAGGCAACGAUGCAUAGCCGACCUGAGAGGGUGGUCGGCCACACUGGAACUGAGCCACGGUCCAGACUCCUACGGUAGGCAGCAGUAGGGAAUCUUACGCGAUGGGCGAGAGCCUGACGGAACAACGCCGCGUGAGUGAUGAAGGUCUUCGGAUCGUAAAACUCUGUUAUUAGGGAAGAACAUAUGUGUAAGUAACUGUGCACAUCUUGACGGUACCUAAUCAGAAAGCCACGGCUAACUACGUG
rnacentral:rRNA from 1 species